GCCGGGUGCGGGGGCGUGUGCCUGCAGUCCCAGCUACUCGGGAGGUUGAGGCUGGAGGAUCUCUUGAGUCCAGGAGUUCUGGGCUGUAGUGCGCAAUUCUGAUUGGGUGUCUGCACUAAGUUCGGCAUCAAUAUGGUGACCUCCUGGGAGUGGGGGACCACCAGGUUGCCUAAGGAGGGGUGAACCGGCCCAGGUUGGAAAUGGAGUAGGUCAAAACUCCCGUGCUGAUCAGUAGUGAUCAUGCCUGUGAAUAGCCACUGUACUCCAGCCUGGGCAACAUAGCGAGACCCUGUCUCUA
ensembl:misc_RNA Metazoa_SRP Metazoan signal recognition particle RNA